rnacentral:tRNA from 1 species
GGGGAUAUAGCUCAGUGGUAGAGCAUUCGACUGCAGAUCGAGAGGCCCUCGGUUCGAAUCCGAGUGUCCCCU